rnacentral:RNase_P_RNA from 1 species
GAUGGGGGCCGUCCUAUCGCUGGUUUGGAAACAAACUGGAGGAAAGUCUGGACAGCGCAGGGCACCAUACUUCCUAACGGGAAGGCAGCCGGUUGGGAACGACCGGCUGACAGACAGUGCCACAGAAAAUAUACCGCCAAUUGGUAAGGGUGAAAUGGUGGGGUAAGAGCCUACCGCCCGCCGGGCGACCGACGGGGCAGGGUAAACCUUAUGGGCUGAAAGACCAAAUAUGCGGCAGAUUAGGGGCGGCUCGUUCCUGUAGGCUUUCGGGCCGAUGCUGUCGCGGGUAGGUCGAUAGAGGUCGUCGGUGACGGCGAUUCGAGAUAAAUGAUAGGAGCCUGAAGGGGUGGUUUUGCCAUCCGUUUGGGAACAGAAUCCGGCUUAUAAGCCCCCAUCGCUU